CCCAUUUUACGAAGUCCCAAUUCAUAAGGCUUCCACCAUCCCUGAACUUGACCAAUCGCAUCACAGAGGCGAAACAUAGCUACAGAGAUCUAGUCCGACGACGAGAAAGAUUCGAGAUCCAAAUCCAAAUCCAUCGUAAAAAUGCCACAAUGAAGUAGGAUGAACGGAGCAGCCCAACUCAAUGUAAAGAGGUAGUGAGAGAUCUCCAGCAUUGUUGAACGUCGUCGAGCGACUGCUGGUGGACGGGCUCGAGCAACAGUGAGCGUUCUCCAGCAAUUUGGGGUGAGAUUUGCAAAUUUCUUUAUGUUCUUUGUUGGGCUGUGUAAAGGUUUAUAAACUAUUGUGGUGGCUCCUUGAAGUGAUCUACGUGGUUCAUUGUGUCUCUACUUAUACUUCUAUAUGUAUUUGUGAUGCAAGUAAGUGGUGGUUUGUUAAAUGGGUGGUAGUGGUUGGUUGGAGGCGGAGGCGGCAGAGGUGAUGGUGAUGGUGGAUUCAAUGAGGUGGUACUGAAACUUUAAACUUUACAAAACUAAAACUUUAGAACUUGAAAACCUAAAUUCAUUUAUUGUCAAGAUUCUCCAUGUCAAAUCACCAAGAGACUUAUUAAGUGUAGAACAUACUUGAAUUCACUGGGAAUGUUUCUUUAGUUCUAAAU
rnacentral:lncRNA from 1 species